UGUAAAAUUUUAAUGAAUUUAUGAAGAUAAACACAAGAAUUUAAAGAAAUGUCCCAAUUCUAGUGGCCUAUUUAAAGAAGUAUUUUCUUUCUUCUGUCCUUAGAAGUAUUUGGGGAGAAUGUGACGGGAGCUACCCAAUGUUCCCGGGGAUAGGUGAGCUCUUAGGGUUCUGCGAUCUCCGCCCACCUGACUGGUCAUCUCUCAUUUCCUGUCAGCCCAUGAGGCUGGCUCUUUCGUGGUCUCCUGGGAUGGCUCACCCUUUCCUUUCUCCAAGCUUUUGUCCAAACAGUCACUUAUGUUUGAGAUAAGCUCUCACCUUCUGACAACCACAUCAUGUCUCUUCUUCUCUUUACAAUGAAAUUGAAAGUCAUUUUUUUCCCAGGAAGAUUUCUCCGACUAAGCUAGGAGAACUGACUCUCCAAAGAGAAUCUAUAAGAAUACCAGGCUGGGAUGCCAAAACUACAUGCUGAUACAAAGUAUUUGUAAAGAAAAAGGGCCCCAUAGGAAGACAGAGCAUGCUGCUUCUGCUCGUCAGUGUCAUGUUUUCGUGUGCAUCUUGGCUUUGAAAGGGAGGCUGCCUGAGGAUGGCUGAGCAGAUGACAUUGAGCCACAGGGCUGACCGCCUCGAGUUACCUUGACUCAGGACUUAAAGUUGUGUGAAAUUAACUUUACUUAAGGGAAGAAGGAAGAAAGGAACAAGGGAAGGAAGAAAGGAGAAAAGGAUGAAGAAAAGCAGAUCACUCUAAGAAUGACAGGUUUCCUGGGUGCUGUGAAGCAUACCUAAACAGAUAGCUGCAAAGAAGGAUCUUUUCUCUAUUUCAAGACAUGAACACUGCCCCGUCCCCACUCCUGGUAUUUUGUACCCUAAACAAAAUUGGGUAUUUGCCUGAUAUAACCUG